rnacentral:rRNA from 1 species
UACGUAGGGUGCAAGCGUUAAUCGGAAUUACUGGGCGUAAAGCGUGCGCAGGCGGUUGUGCAAGACAGAUGUGAAAUCCCCGGGCUUAACCUGGGAAUUGCAUUUGUGACUGCACGGCUAGAGUGUGUCAGAGGGGGGUAGAAUUCCACGUGUAGCAGUGAAAUGCGUAGAUAUGUGGAGGAACACCAAUUGCGAAGGCAGCUCGCUGGGACGUUACUGACGCUGGAGACGCGAAAGCGUGGGGAGCAAACAGG